GACGAACGCUGGCGGCGUGCUUAACACAUGCAAGUCGAACGGAAAGGCCCUGCUUUUGUUGGGUUCUCGAGUGGCGAACGGGUGAGUAACACGUGAGUAACCUGCCCUUGACUUUGGGAUAACUUCAGGAAACUGGGGCUAAUACCGGAUAGGAGCUCCUGCUGCACGGUGGGGGUUGGAAAGUUUCGGCGGUUGGGGAUGGACUCGCGGCUUAUCAGCUUCUUGGGGGGGUAGUGGCUUACCAAGGCUUUGACGGGUAGCCGGCCUGAGAGGGUGACCGGCCACAUUGGGACUGAGAUACGGCCCAGACUCCUACGGGAGGCAGCAGGGGGGAAUAUUGCGCAAUGGGCGGAAGCCUGAUGCAGCAACGCCGCGUGCGGGAUGACGGCCUUCGGGUUGUAAACCGCUUUCGCCUGUGACGAAGCGUGAGUGACGGUAAUGGGUAAAGAAGCACCGGCUAACUACGUG
rnacentral:rRNA from 1 species